rnacentral:rRNA from 1 species
GUGCGUAAAUGGGUAUAACCAGGGGGUUUGCUGGGGAAUGCAGCAAACAGUCAUUUUUCUGCAAUUUUUCUAUUGCGGUCAGCAGAGAACUCCCUAUAAUGCGCCUCCAUCGACACGGCGGAUGUGAAUCACUUCACACAAACAGCCGGUCGGUUGAAGAGAAAAAUCCUGAAAUUCAGGGUUGACUCUGAAAGAGGAAAGCGUAAUAUACGC